AGUGAACGCUGGCGGUAGGCCUAACACAUGCAAGUCGAACGGCAGCACAGUAAGAGCUUGCUCUUACGGGUGGCGAGUGGCGGACGGGUGAGGAUUACAUCGGAAUCUACUUUUUCGUGGGGGAUAACGUAGGGAAACUUACGCUAAUACCGCAUACGACCUACGGGUGAAAGCAGGGGAUCUUCGGACCUUGCGCGAUUGAAUGAGCCGAUGUCGGAUUAGCUAGUUGGCGGGGUAAAGGCCCACCAAGGCGACGAUCCGUAGCUGGUCUGAGAGGAUGAUCAGCCACACUGGAACUGAGACACGGUCCAGACUCCUACGGAAGGCAGCAGUGGGGAAUAUUGGACAAUGGGCGCAAGCCUGAUCCAGCCAUACCGCGUGGGUGAAGAAGGCCUUCGGGUUGUAAAGCCCUUUUGUUGGGAAAGAAAAGCAGCAGGUUAAUACCCCGCUGUUCUGACGGUACCCAAAGAAUAAGCACCGGCUAACUUCGUG
rnacentral:rRNA from 1 species